rnacentral:lncRNA from 10 species
GGGUCUCACUCUUGUCACCCAGGCUGGAGUGCAGUGGCGCAACCUCAGCUCACUGCAGCCUUGACUUCCCAGGCUCAGGUAAUUCUCCCAUCUGAGUCUCCCAAGUAGCCAGAACUACAGGCACAUGCCGCCAUGCCCAGCUAAUUUUUUGUGUUAUACACAGACUCAGAAACUUGAGACAACGUUGCCCAAGAUCAUUCCACACUGAGAAAAAAACACAUUAGAGGCAGCAGUGUUUUGAAUAGGUGCAUGGCUAGUGUUAAAUAAUGGAAAGAAAUUGGAACAAGAGGCAAGUUGUGAAGUAAAAGUCACACCCUGGUAUGAAAACCUGUUGUCACUGUAGCGAAACUUGCUAAUUACAGACCGGCUCCAUCAGUAGCUUCACAAUGCACAAAAUCACCAAAAAAGUCUCUGUUUUCCUUGGGGGUUUUUAGUCGUCGGAAAGGGCUUCAGGCUUUGUUUUCUGUGAGUUACGGGGCUGCCACCUGCAGGUAAAAUCUGGACAUUGCCCUGAAAUUGACCGAACCUUGGAUACAAACCCGGCCUGACAGUGAGCCUCUUUCCCUUAGCACCUGGCUCAAGACCCUCUCAGGGUCAUCCUGAGCCCAUAUUUCCAAGCUUCUCUUUAGGGGGAAAGCACUAGAUACCCAGUAACAGCCAGUGACAGCCUAAAAUUGGGCAUUUGAAAUUCUAUGCUCCCUUGCCCAAUUGAUCUUGGAAGUUCUCAUCUAGAAUUUCCUUCACUUAAGUUGUGAUCCAAGGCUGUGUACUCCUCUCAGGCUUCCAGUGUUCCCUCUGAUGCUGAGUUUAGCAAUGAGACCAAGUGCUGUGACCCCUCUCCAACAUCCUGGCCACCUUUUCCUUCCUUCCUUCCUUCUUUCCUUCCUUCCUGCC